GGGGCUGUCCAUCUAUUAUGUCAGUGAUAAAAAACAAACUUGUUUGUUAUUAAUUGUAAAUUUUCUUCUGAAUGUUGAGAUAUAUAUUUGUGUUUCUGUGAUGUUAACCAUGAAAUAAUUAAAUCUAGUUAAACCUAAAAAACGGUUGUGAAUUUGUAUCAAAAACUAUGAAAAGUGAACAUCUUUCAUCUACAACAACUGACCCAAUUUGGUCUAGUAAUGUGGAAUUACUAUCCUCAGAGGAAUGUCUUCCUAUCAUGAACAACUGCCAGUUCUCCUCCAUUUUACAAAACUUAGAUUCAGCUCCUACAGACCAAAACCUACAAAGCAUGGACCUUAUAAUACUCCAAAGCAAUGACUAUAAAUUACCCUUAGAAGGUCCAUUAAAUCUUAAUACUACAAACAAUUAUAUUGUUCUAAAAGAUUCUGUAGGAAUGGAUAACUACACCAGUACCAGCCUCCCUCCACUGCAAAAGUGUUCUAAUAAGUUUUUUGAUAAGUUUGAGGAAAAUCAAUCCAAAGACUGUGAUCCCAAACUAUUAGAACCAACUGACUUAAGCCUCAAUAUUAUUGAAACAAGCAACUCAAGUAUGACAUCAUCAAUAUCGCCAAGGCAUUAUGAUAGGGAGUCAUUUGAAGAUAUGCUAUAUUUUGUUUGCAAUUUGUGUCCCUUUCUUUGCACCAAAGAAACUAAAAUUACAGAGCAUUUGGAAGGUUUGCAUAAAAAUAAGGCUGUUCGAAAACUGGUGCAAUUAAAAUGUCCUGCUUGUACUAAUAUAUUUUAUCAUAAGGCUUCUUUAAAGAGCCACUUGUUUCAUGAUCAUUAUGUGACUAAUAAUGAUCUGAGUUUGAUUGUUCAGGCCGUAUAUUUUUAUUCUACCAAAGAAAGAGAUAAAAAGAAGGAUGAGGAUCUUGAGAAAACUGAAAAACUAAAACCUCCAGGAACUUUAGAAAAAAAAAAUCACAUUAUUGAGCAACCGAAAGUUUUGGAAAGUGAAAUGGCCAUGAAUAGUGAUAUUGCUAGCAAGUCAAAAUUAGAAGAAUCUGAACCAGAUGUUAUAAAUUUAGUCAAACCUGGACCAAAACUUGCCUCAAAUAUACCAUUAAAUUUAGAAAUGCCUCAUCUAGAGCAUUUCAUGGAUGUUGAUUUUCAAAAAACGUCUCUAGUAGAGAAUGAAAUGCAGGCGUCUGUUACCCACUCUUUGCCACAACCAAAAAUUCCACUUCCGCAAGUUAAUAUUACAGCAGGUAACUCUGAAAAACUUAUAAAGAAUUUAAUGAAAAAAAGUGAUCCUAUAGUUAAAUAUAGUUCCCAAAAAUGUGUUUAUGCUAAUUGUAAGGUUUCCUUGCAAAAUCCAAGAAACAUGGAAUAUCAUAUUGAAUCUCACCUUAAUGAUGGAUUUUCUUGUUUGGAAUGUGAGGAAAAAUUUAAUCUUUGGAAACCAUUUACAUCUCAUUUAUGGAGAAUGCAUAAAGUCGAUAUGGAGUUGUUUUCUUGUGACAAAUGUGAUUAUAAAACGAAUAGUUUAUCUAAAUUAAACACAGUACAUAAGCUGAUUCAUAGCAGUAUAAAGGCUUUUCAAUGUGAUACUUGCCAAAAAUUCUUUAAAAAUCAAAAGCAGCUUCGUAACCAUCGUCGAAUUCAUCGGGAAAAUGUCGAAGUUCAAAAAGAGGAGUGUGAAUUGUGCCACAAAACUUUCUCAACAAAACGUAGACUGAGAAGCCAUAUGGAUACAGUUCAUAAAAAACUUAAACCGUAUUUGUGUAACGUUUGUGGAUAUAAGGGUUCUAGAAAGGGUAGCUUAAGGAUGCAUAUGAGAAGUCAUACAGGAGAGAAACCUUUUUCUUGCGAUCAAUGUCAGUACACUACUGCCGAUCACAAUUCCCUCAGAAGACACAAGCUUAGGCAUUCCGGCCAAAAACCCUAUAAAUGCUCUUACUGUUCUUAUGCUUGUAUACAAAGCACCACGUAUAAGGUUCAUUUAAAAACGAAACAUCCAGGGUUGGAAAAGGAUCUUAUGUUUACAUGUUUUAUGUGCCAGUUUAGGACGGUAAAUCGAGAAAUGUAUCACUCUCAUUUAAUGACGGUGCAUAAAGAAAAACCUCCAUCUGUUAGUGAUGGUAUCGGUCGCUGAUGAGGCCAUAGAACUAUAAAAUUUCUGUGAUAAUAUUUUUUGUGCUCUGUGCUGAAUGGCAAAAAGAAAGGCUGAUUUAUGCUGCAGGGUACUUCUUGAGGCAAUCAAAAUAGCAACUUUAUGUCUAAGUUAGUGUGUCUGAAAUUGUGAAACACAACAUUGCAAUCAUGAUUAUUGUUAAUUUGAAACUCCUUACAUAACAUCUCAUACACAUAAACUUCAGUAUUUAUGUUACAUAAUAUAAUAUUUAUAGUUUUAAAUUAAUUUCUUUAACUAUACAGGGUGCGUGAACAAGGCGUACAUCAAAGAUAGCGUCUAAACUAUACGACUUAGAGCAAAAAGUUCUAUAGCGAAGUUGUAGGUUUGCCAAAAUCUAUAAACUAUAAAGACUUUUGCAUAUACAGGAUGAGUCACAAAAAAGUUAUCAUAAAAUAUGAAUUUUUUUUAGAUUGAAGCUCUGUAUAUUAUUUCACAAAAUGAUUACAUAUAAAGAAAACGUUUAAAAAACCUGAAACCAACUACAGAUUCAACAUACAAAAUUAAAAAAAAAAUUAAACUACUGACUUAUUAGAGAAUAGACUUAUAGAGAAAUGACUUAUAUAGAAAUUUAUACCACAGGAAAAUAGUUAUAAGAUGCCGGUUAAAGAACUUUUUGCUCUAUGUCGUAUACUUUAGAAGCUAUCUUUUUCGUACGCCUUGUUGGCGCACCCUGUAGGAGUUUUUUUGGAGUUUUUCUUUUAAGACGGUUAAGACAUAGAACUUAAAAAGAAUUAAGAAUUUUUCAAAUAAUAUUUUUGUUGCGAUUUGGUCGUUGUGAGCAGGUGAAUUUAAUAAUCACGUACACGAUUUAAUUUGUAAAAACAUUUAUUAAUAUACGAAACGUUACAGUAAAAGGUUAUACAAAGACUAACUGCAAAAACACGGGCUCCUAAAUUUAAUCUUCACUACAUAUAACAUUUUGCCGAUUCAACAUUUUCGGUCUUUCAAUAACAUAGUGAGCUAUCUCGCUAAUACAUAUAUAAACUGCGACGUUUGCGUUUGGUUUUUCUUAAACAUUUAUCUUUAUUAUUUCAACAAUUUUCUUGAAGGAUCAAAAACAAAUUAGAUAUGGAUAUACAGGGUGGUCCAGUUCAAACGUCAAUAAUUUUAAUAUGUGAUAGAUAAUUGAAAACGAAAUAGACUUUCAUUAUAGAAUAUUUCUCAGAAAUUUUUAAUAACAAAGAUACAGGGUGUUAAAGUUAAGAAUAAUUAUUUGUUUAUUUAUCAUAACUUUUAAGCUACCAGCUCAAUUUGAAUUAAAUUUUGCAUUGCAGGUUAUUGUAGUGAAUUGUCAAUUAGUGAUGAAGUCAAUUUUUAAAAAAAUUGCCAGUGGCGUAACAUACGGAGGGACUUGGUCCUUUUUUGUCUCAAAUCUGCGAGGUGAUUUACUAAUAAUUUUAAUUGUUCAGAAAUACCUGCUAAAAUGUUAUAAAAAAAAGGAAAACUGACUUGGGUUUGUAAAAAAGUUGAAUAUAAAAGAUGAUCAAAAGUUACCUUUGUUACACAAGAAAACACAAGACUAAAGAAGAAGUUUUAUUAAAUUUUAUAACUUACAUAGAGAGAGCAAAACUUUAAUAAUUAACGGACAAAAUAAAAAAAAAGACAAAAGCAGCACUAACAGCUGACAUGACAUUAAAAAGACAAAGAUACAUGACACAUGACAGUUAACUUAAAUGUAGUACAAUUACCGAGUAAAAUAUAGGAAGGCAGGUUUGCCAAAUCUAUCUGUUUAUAUUAACACCCUCCCUCAAACCUGACUUAGUAAACAAAAAUAAACUUAUUUUAAAUGUAUGCCUUAAUGAACGUAAAACUCAAAACAUUUAUUAUCUAACACCCAAGAUUUAACAUUUCUAAGAACUGAUUAAACUUUUCACUUCCUAAUGCCUUUGUAAAUACAUCAGCCAGUUGAAGAUAUGUACACAAUGUUAAUAACACCUUGAUUAAUAAAAUCUAAAACAAAGUGCAUUUUAACAUCAAUAUGUUUACAUCGUCUAUUAUUUUCAAAAUUCUGAAGCAACUUUAUUGUGCUCUGAUUAUCUGCAAACAAAGUAAUAGGUAAUUCUAAAUCAAUGUCUAAACCUUGCAACAAAUUUCUUAAAUAAAACAAAAAGCACACGACGCGACACAAACAGCUACAAAUUCGGAUUCUGUGCUGGAUAAAGUCACUAAACCUUGUUUUUUCGAAGUCCAAGAUAUUAAAUUAUCAAAAAGCUUAAAACAAUAUCUGCUAACAGACUUUCUAUCUACUGAAUCAUUGGCAAAAUCCGAAUCUUCGUAGCUUAUCAGAAUAACAAAAUCUCAACUUUCAAUAGGGGUCUUAAAUGCCUUACAGUAACUUUUGGACUAAAUUAUCAAUAGCUGUAACCUGAUCUAAAGUUAUUAUUUGUUUACUCACAUUUCUAGUUAUUCUAAUACCCAAAAAGUUAUAAUUGUCACUCGACCUUCUAACUUUAAAGUUUUCAGUCAAUUUUAAUGUUAGGUUAUUAAAAAAAGUUUUAUAACUACAUGUUAUGAGAAUAUCAUCAACAUAAAGUAACAAGUAACAACGCACUUUCUGUGACACAAAAGAAUAUAAGCAAUAGUCUGACUUAGAACGUGUAAACUUUAAACUCACCAUAAACUCAUUAAACCUAUCAUUCCAAGCUUUUGGUGCUUGUUUAAGUCCAUAUAUUGCCUUUUUUUAACAAACAAACUUUAUUUUUAAACUUUUUUGAACUUUCUAAACCCUCUGGUAUUUUCAUAAAAACUUUAUCAUUAAGAUGACUAUUUAAGAAAGCAUUUUUCACAUCAUAUAGCUCUAAAAACAAGUUAUAGUGAUUGCAAAUGGAUAAUAAAAUUCUUAAUGAUGACAGUCUUGCAACUGGGGCAUGAAUUUGUGGAUACUCACCAAAGCUUUGUUCAAACCCUCUUGCCACUAAUCUGGCUUUGUAAAUAUGUUUACCCACAGAAUUUUCCUUGACCUUAAAUACCCACCUAUUGCUGAUAACUUCCUGAUCAGCUUUCAAUUCUUCAUCUAUAGCAUUUUUCCACAUAUCCCAAUUUCCACUUUCUUUUGCCUCAGUAUAAGAUUGUGGGGUAUCUGAAUAUUCACUUAGUAAUGCCAAACAACUAAUUUCCACAUCAUAAUCAUCAAGUCUCUUAGGUAAACGUCUUUCUCUUGUUGGCCUCAAACUUACCUCAGUAUCGCCUAAAGACUGGACAUCGACUUUGUCUUUAACUUCGUGCUCAUGGUUGUCUAUUUUAACUUCAGUAUUACCUUUAUCAGUCUGUCGUAUUAUCUGUUUUUCACCUACCUGUAUAUUUUCUUCUUCAAAAACAUUUUCCUGUUCAAAAAGAUCAUCUAACACAUUUGAAGUUUCCUAUUUAAAAUUAUUCUCAUCAAAUAUUACAUUUCUACUAAAUACAACUUUAUUCUCAUCUUCUUGCCACAAUUUAUACCCUGUCUCAGUAUACCCAAUAAAUCUACACUUUAGACCUUUUUCAUCUAAUUUAGUUCUUAAACUAUCUGGCACUCUCGAGUAAGCAGUACACCCAAAAACCCUCAUGUUUAAAACAUUUGGCUUCUUACCUAACCACAAUUCAUAAGGAGUUUUUUUGCUUUUCCAGAUAUGACUGAGUUCUAUUAAUAAUAUAUGCUGCCAUCAACACAGCAUCUUCCCAGAAAAUUUUACUCAUUGAUGCUUGCAUGAUCAUUGACCUAGCCUUGUUCAUUAACGUCUGAUUUAUCCUCUCCGCAACACCGUUUAGUUGUGGAGUAUAAGGAGGGGUAUAAACAAUUUCCUUGUUUGAACAGAAAUCUAACAAUAUUUUGGAGCAAUACUCUCCCCCAUUAUCACACUUUAUCGUAGAAAUCUUUUUAUCACAAAAAGUCGAUGUUACUUUUGCCACAUAAUCUUUGAAACAUUCUACUACUUCACUUUUAUGCUCAAUAACAUAUACCAUCAAAAAUCUAGAAUAAUCAUCUACGAAUGUGACAAAAUAUUUAUUGCCAUUAUAAGAAGUAGGUGUUAAAGGUCCACACACAUCCGUAUGCAUCAUUUCUAAUUUUCUAGUUGACCUUGUAGAUUUUGAAUGAUAAGGAAAACAUUUCUGUUUACUUUUAACACAUACUUCACAUAUUUUGUUCUGUCCAACCCUAUUUGAUAUUUUUAAACCAUUUACUAGAUUCAUGCUAUCUAACCUUAACAAGGAAUUAUAAUUUAAAUGACCAUAUCCUUUAUGCCAAAGUUCCAUGUCAUUAUUAAUUGACAAAUUGGCUCCAAAGCCCUCAGAAUAUUCAAAAAAUAUUUUGUAUAAACUACCCACUCUAAUACCCUCUGCAAAUACAUUAAUCCCCUGUUUAAUGACCAUUUUACAGUUUGAAAACAAUAUAUCAAAACCAGCCUUUUCGAUUGUAGAAACAGAUAAUAAAUUAACCCUCAAACCAGGCACACAUAAUACAUUUUUUAAAGUUACAUUUACCUGCCUACUUCCUAUUAUACUAAUCAUUUCGAUGUCACCUGUACAUGUAGUUUUCAUCACCUUGCCUUCUUCAGCCAGCUGAAUUUCUUUUGGUUCAGGAAAGAUCUUCUUUCUCACCAACACUGCCUCGUCGUUUGUAUAGUGAUGAGUGGCACCCGAAUCAGCAUACCAAAUCAUUUUCAUCUGUUGUCCAUCCCCGCCAGCAUAAAAAGCCACAUUCUGCCCUUGCUCGCAGCUCCGAGUCCCUUCAGCCAACCCCUCGACUACCUCCCUACUGCCAAUAGCAUAGUUGGCCCUUCGAUCAGCACUCUUGGCCUCCAUUUUAUUUUUCUGCGAACACUGAUUAGAUUUAUGACCAUACUUGUGACAUGUAAAACAUUUCACACCACAAACACUUUUUACAUGACCUAACUUGCCACAUUUAAAACACUUUAUGGGUUGCUUUUGAGUGGCUCCAAAUGAUGAUGGCCUUGUAUGAUUGUACUGGUCCUAUUUCAGCCUCUGUUUAUGCAGAAUUCCAAUAAUCUGCUCUUUACGAACUCCAGUUUAAGGUCAGCCUCAGAAAGGGUCCUAAUGGCAGUCACCACAUUUUCAAAUUCACUGGGCAUGGUUAGUAGAAGGAAACAUGACAUAUCUGACUCAUCAAAAUUGCCACCCAGAUUUUUAAUCUCUUGAAAAACUCUAUCACAUGCCGAAAAAUGGUCUUGAAUGUCAUUAGCACAAACAUAUUUCAUAUUAAUUAGCUCUUUUAGUAAAUAAAACUUUGAACAAGUACCUUUUUUACUAAAUAUACUUUCCAACUUGGUUAUCAUUUCAUGGGCAUCCUCAAUUUCUUUUAUGUACUCCAAAUUAGCCAGCGUAUCCUGGGCCCAUAACCAUUGUUACACAAGAAAACACAAGACUAAAGAAAUUUUAUUACAUUUUAUAAUUUACAUAGAGAGAGCAAAACUUUAAUAAUUAACGGACAAAAUUUAAAAAAAAGGCAAAAGCAGCACUAACAACUGACAUGACAUUAAAAAGACAAAGAUACAUGACACAUGACAGUUAACUUAAAUGUAGUACUUACUCUUUUGAGACCAUUGACUUUGUGUCCCUCUAUUCUGUGAAUUUUUAAAUGUAGUACAAUUACCGAGUAAAAUAUAGGAAGGCAGGUUUGCCAAAUCUAUCUGUUUAUAUUAACAACCUUAAGUCACCAUUUUAUUUGACAAAUUUAAUUUAAGAUUCAAGCCUAAUUUUCUUUUUUUUUUAAUUUUUGAAGCAUUUUAACUGGCGUUUCUGUACAAUUAAACUAAGAUAUUUUAAAAACAGUGCCUUAAAUCAUAAUUUUGCAAGAGUAACUUUUUUUUUCAAAUUAUAUGGAGAAUCUGACAGCUGACAAAAAAAAACUUUUAUCACCUCGCAGAUUUGAGACAAAAAAGGACCAAGUCCCUCCGUAUGUUAUGCCAGUGGCAAUUUUUUUAAAAAUUGGCUUCAUCAGUAAUCGAUAAUUCACUACAAUAACCUGCAUGCGAAAUUUAAUUAAAAUUGAGCUGGUAGUUUAAAAGUUAUGAUGAAUAAACAAUUAAUUAUUCUUAGCUUUAACACCCUGUGUCUUUGUUAUUAAACAUUUCUGAAAAAAAAAUUAUAAUGAAAGUCUAUUUCUUUUUAAAUUCUCUAUCACGUAUUAAAAUUAAUGAUGUUUAAACUGGACCAUCCUGUAUAAUUUAACAUUAUAUUGAAAAUCAUAAUUUCCAUAUUCAUCAUAACGUCGCCUUCCACACAGAGUGUCGUAAGUGUCAUUUUGUAAAUUUUACAGUAGAGUGAAAAAACGAAAAUAGGUGUAAUGUUUUCCAGACAUACUGAAAAAUUAUCUAGAGUGAAGUUUUCAUUUUGAUACAUGUAAAAGUAUGUUUUACGAGUAAGGUUAUUUCGUACAAAAGUUGUGGAAAAAGUCUUUAGUUUCCCAGAUUUUUCGAAAAAUUACCACUUGCGUCAGUUUGUCUGAUUUUUUUUCGCCUUUUUCCAGAUAGGACAGUUGACAAUAAAACUCUUUGACAUAAUAAUAUGAUGUAUUUUAACUAAAUAGCUUGAUUAUAAACCAGAAAAACUAAAACUACGAAAUAAACAGAAGAAAAAAAAGAAAAUUCAGUAUUUCAAAUACAAACUAAUUUUCGUGAGGCAGAUUGUAGUAAAAGUUUUGGAAUCCGGGAAGCCUUAUAUAACAGGAGUAUCCCCUUUACAUAGCGAAGUAAGAUCAUCGUAUUUUUUCUUUAUUAUCUUUGGUGGAGCACUGUUGAAAUUACCAACUUUAAUAUCACCUACUUUUGUCUCCAAUCGCUUUAAUUCUAUAAAGUUAUACCUUGAGUCAAAGUGGCUAUAUUUAGGUAGGUUCCUAGGUUCCUAGGUUCUUUUUUGUCCACCCUUAGCUCCAUAACAUCGGUCCAAUUAUUUUUUUUUCCCUAAUGACUGAUACGGACUGUCAAAAUUCGUAAUAAUUUUGAGACACCCUUAAAAUCUAGAAAGUCUUUCCAACCCUUGGCAUGACUUUGUAGGGAUUUUUUCGUCUGGCAAGUUCGAAUAUAGGAUGAAGUUGGCUAGGAACAAAAAUAUCACCAACUUGAGAAAGAGCUGUACUUAUUGCGCUGAAUCUCCCUCGUUUUGUCCAUGAUUGGUUUCGAAAAAACGUAGAGAUAUGGUUUCGAUUUCCCUAAAUUUCUGAGCUGAAUACAACAUCAUUGCGGCCAUAAUCGAGUUUUUAUUCUGACCAAAACAUCCAUCCGAAUAUAGAACUACAGAUGUUAUACCUUGUGCUGCAUAAUAUUCGAUGCUCCUAAAGACACAACUAGAUAUUUCUGAGGUCCCCCUUUUACUGAUUGACUCGUUCCAAGGAAGACAUAGACACUCUUUAGCUAUGUUAUAGAACGUAAAAUUAAAAUUGGACAGACGACUUUUAUAAAAAAUUGCGCUUUCACGACUCAUUGGCAAAUAGUUCACCUGUUGCAAAUCAAAAACCGCACAUAAAAUAGAUUUAUCCUUGUACGAUUCAACUUUGGAUUCUUCUUUCAGUUCUCUUACUUUCACCUCCUCUAGAGUGUGUUUUUCAUAUCUGUCUUUUAAUUUUCUUUUUAUUUCAUCAUCUCCUUGCUUGCACGUUACGCACAAAGAACACAUAUCCUUCUUUGGGUGAAAAAAUGAAAGGUUUUUUGUUACAAAAACCCUCCGGUAUGUAGAAAAACUGGGCUUUGAUUCUGAUGUUGUCUGUUCUAAUUCCUGGAGGAACAUGGCAUACAUUUUUGGAAGAGAUAAAUCAGGAUGAAGGUACAUUCUGGAACUUGAAGAUCUACAAUAAUGUGACUCAACUUUAGGAAACCUAUCAAUAUGUUGCGAAAUUUUCUCUUUUACUUUAUGUUCUUCUUUAAUUUUUGCCUAACUAUGCCUUCCGCCUCGUUUAUCUUUUUCAAGAAUGCCCGAUCCACUAAGUUUUCCUAAUGCAGUUCUAGAAGUCCGGUCUGAUGUAUCAAACGUUCUUAAAAAUAGUUUCUUGCAAACAAUCUUUCUUUGCCCUUCUACUGUCAGAUAGUAACGUAAAGUGCAAUUUCUUUGAGAGUGUUCCUUCUUGCUAGUUUUCCUGGCUGUUUCCAUGUUUUCAAUGUGGCGGAUCAAACACUCUCGUUGCCUUGUAGUAUCGCCCAAGGCAUAAUACUGACUGAAUAUCACUUCUCGAUGUUCAUCACUUACUUCACUGCAAAGCUUGCUACUUUUUCUACAAGACUCGCAAUUGCAUCGAUUUUUAAGCCUUCUGGCUGGAAUAAUUUUUUUUAGUCACAGGAUUUUUAAAUUUCUGUCCUAAGUUUCACAGUUUCUUGGCUUCAUGAUAUUGAUUGAGCCGUUUCUGUUUUUUUGUUUCGACAUUUUCUUUCUCACCACCGUCAACUGUGUAGUUUUCAGGCUUUUCAAUAGUGGAAGUAAUAAUGGGGUCAUUUAUUAAUUCACCCUGGUUUGUGCCUUCAUCUUCGGCAGUGACGUGUAUCCAUUUUUGUGUACGACAACAAUGCUUUACAUCUGCCAUAAAAUGAGUCCAGCACACAAGUUUUUCACAAAUUUCGCAGGAGCUAAAAACUUCAUCUCUACAUCUACGCACUUCACAUUGUCCAAAAGGUGGGUCGGCGUCUGAGUCAUAAUAUGGGGAAGGUGGAGACGACAAGAUCCCUUCGUAAAUAUCGGGCAGGUUAGAGGUUCUGUUUUCGACCACUUCUUCAUUGGCUUCUAUCAACGUGGGAUUAUUUGUUUGAACUAAACGUUCUCGGAGUAGGCUAAGUGGAAGAUCGUCAUCAGAAGAAAUUUCCGUGCAGUGGGAAUGAUGUUCGGUUGUCACUUUUUUGUCUGAGUCACUUAAUAAGAUAUCUUUUUCAACAUCAAUUACCUCUCCAAAGUACCAUUUACGUUUGAAACGCAUUUUACUCUUGAUCCUACUAUAAUUCUAUCACCAUCUACUAAACACAGUUCACUUUUUCGAACAACAUUUUUUGUUCCAUCUUUCCAUAAAACUAAAGCAUCCAUACUGCAAGGUUUAAAUCUAAAAAAAAAAAUAUAAAUGAAGCCUGAAGUAAUUUGUCUAUAAAAGCGAAAGUAUGCAGACAAAUUAAGUUAAACUGAACUUAAAAAUCCAUAAUUCUUACAUUUUUAUGUAUAUUAUUAUAUUCCAUAACUAAGUUAUCAACUUUUGGUUAUUAACAGUGGAAACUACUAACGGUACGAUACAGUGUUUUAUAGGUUAUGUUCAAAAACAAUAACAAACCACCACGUAAACCGUCAGUUUAACUUCUCGAAAGCGACAACGAAAAUAUUUCACACAAACGGACCUAACUGCAUAUACGACACUUUGUGGGAUUUUAUACUUUUGUAAAAAAGUACCAUUUGUAAAAAAUGCUUUAAGAAGCAUUUCUUACAAAUGGUCGUAAAUUAAGUUACGUGUGUUUGUGUGAUUCAAAAACGAAAUUUUGUCAGAUGCCAUUUGUUUUGUUUGCUAUAGCCGAGUUUUCGCCAGUGAAGUUACGGCACUUUGUGAGAACAAACGGCAAGUCGAAGUAAGCUUGGGGGUGGCGAAACUAAUUUUUUUAAAUAUUUGUUAGUUACGACACUCUGUGUGGAAGACGACGAUAAGUUCCACGUGCAAAAACUUUAUUUAAUACAAAAAAAGGUAAAAGUGUAGGAAAUGAAUAGGGGAAAAAAUUACAUGUCCAGGUCCGCUUAAAGAAAUUAAAUGAUCACAAUUAUUGGAUUCAUUCACACUGUCGCUCGGCGUACUGUGUCGUUUUAUCAUUACAUUUUAUAGUGUUUUUUAUCUCUUUUUCUACACUUUUUUGCCAGGAUUUUACCUAUACUCUGAUACGUAAUAAAAAUAGUCAUUGUUAUAAAUAUUUAUUUUGUUACUUCAAAAUGUAAUUUAUUUUGUAAAUUGUAUAUAACUGUAUUUUAAGUAAUUAUAAGGGUUUUAAUAACUUUUUACAUUAAGUAUAUAAUAAAAUAUUAUUUACAAAUUAA